ACCAAACGACCCUUAUCCCCACCCCCUUUCUCUUUCUUUCCCUUUCCUUGCAAACCCUAAAGCUGCCACCUACACUCUCUCUUUCUCUCUCAUCUAAAAAUGGUAAAAUCACAGAGCGGAUAGAAGAUACGCAACUUUUGUUGAGUCAUUUACAUGAAACAAUUAAAUUCAAGCUUUGUUUUCACACGAAUCUCUCCCAAACGCGUUUGAGUUAGAGAUUUAGAAGCACAAAGGCUUCAAGUUGCUCACAGCUGUGCAAAAAAGAGGUAAUUUUUUUUUAUCAUUUUAUUGCUUUAUCUUUAAUUUUGUUCUUAGUCUAGGUUUUAGUCGAAUUGAAUUAGUUGCUGAUUUAGUAUUAGUACAAAUAUUAUGAUCCUGUUAAAUAUGUGUCUUGUGCCAAAAUAUUAGUUAGCAGAAUAUUUAAGUACGUGGACUUGAUUAGUCUUUAAGUAGUGUUUUGAUUAUUGUAUAAUCAUUUAGAUAUUUAGCAUGCCUGAUGCGUGAUACCUGAGCCUUAAUAACACUGGUGAGGGUUGAUUAAUAAUGAAUAAUGCAUAAUCUCACUUUCAAAGGUUAUCCUGUAGUUUUAUGCCUAGUCUGGCUAUUGAUAAGGGCCUGUCCAGUUGGGAUAUCCUUAAUAUGAGUUAUGCUUGGUUAAAGGUUCUUUCCUAAGAUUGCCAAGUUAGCUUUAGGGUGUCUUUAAUGUGUGUGUGUUUAUGGUUAAUCAUCAAUGCAUCUUGUGACUUGAUCCAGUUCCGUUUAGUUUGUAUGCAAUCCUUAAUGAUGGAGACAAUUAAUGGCUAUUCAUUUAGAUCACUGAACUUGGUUAUAAUACUUGAUGUUUGGAUUAAAAUAAACCUACUAACUUACUUAAGUGUACCUUAGGGAUUAGUUGACUGAGCUAGGUGAUACACAUUAGCUUGAGGAUUGUAGGCAUUGAUUAAAACUGGAAAGUGAGAAAGACUUCAAGUAGGUGUUUGAUUACUGGUUACUGAAAAUGAGUCAAAUGUUUUAUUUGGAUAGUGUAAUAAGUUGUAAGGACCCUCUAAUAUCUGUUUAGACUUAAUUCAUGACAAAGACUCACAUAGGGUGAGUGUAUGCAUUAGUUUCGUCUUGUCUAUGCUUAAAUUGGGUUCUUAAGACACUAGAAUGCUAAAGAAAGGAAAAGAGGAGUAGCUUAAGUUUGUCUGGAUCUUGAGUAUGUACUAUUUAUCAUUAUAGGAUUUAUAUUUAGAGGUAAAGUUCACUAUAUGAUUUGUUUAUAAGUGCAAGUGUCCUGUUUUAAUUGUUUCAUCUAUACAUGACAUUUAAGGAAUCUGUUUCAAUGUUGAUCAAGUCCCUCAUCUCUGAGAACCUGGCAACACUGGGAAUUUUAAGAAAGUCUGCUUGGAUUAAAGAUUUUAAGGAUAAAUAUCAAAGCUACACUAGUCCAUCUAAGUAUGUUUAAAUCACUUGUGCCUAUGAAUUGUCUCUGCAUCCUUCCUGGAGGACCUGAUUUCAUUAGAUGAGAACUAGAACUAGAACUGUUCAGCAUGUGUAACUGUUACAUAAUUACAUAUGAGCCUGAUUAGGCCUUAGUAAUAAAAAAUUGCUCAAAUCUCUAUCUAAAUGGUUCUGUCUGCUUGAGAAUGUGUGUACCUGAACCUAUUUGAGUACCUGGUUAAGAAAUGGUUUUAAUGGCAUGAUUUUGUAUGGUCAAUAGGAUUUAUGAGUAGACUAAACCACAUUGUAUAAAGGAGCCUUUUAAAGAGUACCCUGGGAGAGGAUUAAGGGGAACCAGGCAUAUCUUGGUUCAUAAUACCUUUCCUCCACAUAAAAGGCACCACGACACUUCUAUAAGUCUAUGGGAGGCACAUGUUUACUACAUAGAUGCCUUAUUAUCUUACAAAUUUUGUCAUUAAACCAACAGGGUUGGGUUGUUAAGCCCAAUGAUUUAAAACUGUGUAUAUGCUCCUGUAUCUUAUAUAUAUGUGUAAUAUAUCUAUGUAUAUACAUAGACUCAAUAAGUUCAAUAAAUUGAAACUAACCGCUAUUUUCUUAUCAUUCUCCCCCCACUGCAUGACCAUUCGGGCCAAGUCGAGCCAACCUGUUGGGCCUUGACCCAACAUGCAAAUUCUUUCUCAAUCAUCGAGUCCGAGAAGAAAAAAUGGAAGCUAACAUAUACACAUAGAAGGCCCAGCCAUGGGUGAAAAUGGCCAACUAGGGGUUUGGUUCGCCCCUAGCCUUCCCCUCCUUUUAUUUAGUUUAUUUAUGCUUUCCUUUAUUUGCAAUUUUGUUGUCUUUGUGUUUAUGAACUUGUAAAAACUCUAUUAUAGGAUCUUUGUGUUUUGAACUAGCCGUCUUAGGACAA